CGUAGGGGGCUAGCGUUGUCCGGAAUCAUUGGGCGUAAAGCGCGUGUAGGCGGUUCGGUAAGUCCGCUGUGAAAGUCGGGGGCUCAACCCUCGGAUGCCGGUGGAUACUGUCGGACUAGAGUACGGAAGAGGCGAGUGGAAUUCCUGGUGUAGCGGUGAAAUGCGCAGAUAUCAGGAGGAACACCGGUGGCGAAGGCGGAUCUCUGGGCCAUUACUGACGCUGAGGAGCGAAAGCGUGGGGAGCAAACAGG
rnacentral:rRNA from 1 species